rnacentral:rRNA from 1 species
UACGUAGGGUGCGAGCGUUAAUCGGAAUUACUGGGCGUAAAGCGUGCGCAGGCGGUUUUGUAAGUCAGAUGUGAAAGCCCCGGGCUUAACCUGGGAAUGGCAUUUGGGACUGCAAGGCUGGAGUGUGGCAGAGGAGACUGGAAUUCCUGGUGUAGCAGUGAAAUGCGUAGAUAUCAGGAGGAACACCGAUGGCGAAGGCAGGUCUCUGGGCUGACACUGACGCUCAUGCACGAAAGCGUGGGGAGCAAACAGG